rnacentral:rRNA from 1 species
GACGAACGCUGGCGGCGUGCCUAAUACAUGCAAGUCGAGCGAAGUUUUUCUGGUGCUUGCACCGGAAAAACUUAGCGGCGAGCGGGUGAGUAACACGUAAAGAACCUGCCUCAUAGACUGGGACAACUAUUGGAAACGAUAGCUAAUACCGGAUAACAGCAUUAACUGCAUGGUUGAUGUUUAAAAGUUGGUUUUGCUAACACUAUGAGAUGGCUUUGCGGUGCAUUAGCUAGUUGGUGGGGUAAAGGCCUACCAAGGCGACGAUGCAUAGCCGACCUGAGAGGGUGAUCGGCCACACUGGGACUGAGACACGGCCCAGACUCCUACGGGAGGCAGCAGUAGGGAAUCUUCCGCAAUGGGCGAAAGCCUGACGGAGCAACGCCGCGUGAGUGAAGAAGGAUUUCGGUUCGUAAAGCUCUGUUGUUAGGGAAGAAUGAUUGUGUAGUAACUAUACACAGUAGAGACGGUACCUAACCAGAAAGCCACGGCUAACUACGUG